rnacentral:sRNA from 2 species
AACUUUUUCCUCUGUCUACCCAUCCACCCGCAUAAGUCAGCUCACAAAAGGACGUUUCGAAGAUCCAAAAACUCUUACUCUCUAGCGAGAAGGUAAAUUAACAGGUGAGUAGCUCAUAUUCUCUCACUUCUAGUCUUAUAUAUUGGGAUGGUGGAGAUCUGCUGUUUGUCUGACCACCUACCCCCUUGCUGCGCGGUGACCGUCCACUACAACUCCAAACACACGUACCGAAGUACAUAUGGGAGUUUUUCUCAUCAUUGUAUUGUCUGCUGUUUAGCCAAAUAGUGAUCUGUAACGAAGGUUCUCUCAAGUCGCACGGGCCAAAAAUCAUGAGUUGGAACGCUGGAGGCCUCGAUGAUGCCCAUUGGAACGACGGUGGUGGCAAUGACAUGACAUGGAAUCCUCCAGGGGACAAAAUCGAGUUCGAUACUGGAGAUUUCGGUGGAGGAAAAGAAUUUGGAGGCGGAGACGAUGCUUGUCGCAA